rnacentral:rRNA from 1 species
CCCUUAGAUGUCCUGGGCCGCACGCGCGCUACACUGAAGGAAUCAGCGUGGCUUUCUCCCUGACCCGAAAGGGUUGGGAAACCCGUUGAAUCUCCUUCGUGAUAGGGAUUGGGGCUUGAAAUUGUUCCCCAUGAACGAGGAAUUCCCAGUAAGCGCGAGUCAUAAGCUCGCGUUGAUUACGUCCCUGCCCUUUGUACACACCGCCCGUCGCUACUACCGAUUGAACGGUUUAGUGAGGGCCUCGGAUUGGUCUCGGCCCGCUCUUUACCGGGCGGCGCCGUUGGUCGAGAAGACGCUCGAACUUGACCGUUUAGAGGAAGUAAAAGUCGUAACA